GACGAACGCUGGCGGCGUGCUUAACACAUGCCAGUCGAACGGUGAACCUCUUCGGAGGGGGUCAGUGGCGAACGGGUGGGUAACACGUGGGCAACCUGCCCCCGGCUCUGGGAUAACUGCAAGACAUAGGGGCGAAUACUGGAUGUUCACCGCUUCCCGCAUGGGUGGUGGUGGAUAGGGUUUCCGGCUGUGGAUGGGCCCGCGGCCUAUCAGCUUGUUUGUGGGGUAGUGGCCUACCAAGGCGACGACGGGUAGCCGGCCUGAGAGGGUGGCCGGCCACACUGGGACUGAGACACGGCCCAGACUCCUACGGGAGGCAGCAGUGGGGAAUAUUGCGCAAUAGGCGGAAGCCUGACGCAGCGACGCCGCGUGGGGGAUGACGGCCUUCGGGUUGUAAACCUCUUUCAGCAGGGACGAAGCGCAAGUGACGGUACCUGCAGAAGAAGCACCGGCCAACUACGUG
rnacentral:rRNA from 1 species